rnacentral:rRNA from 1 species
UUAGCGGCGAGCGAAGUGGGUAAAGCUCAAGUUUAAAACCUGUUUGUCCUAGACAAACCGGAUUGUAAACUAAGGACGUGCUAUCCAGGCUCUUUGGACCUUCAAGUCCUUUGGAAUAAGGCUUCACAGAGGGUGACAUCCCGUAGAGGGUCUUGAAAGAGUCUAUUGCGAUGCAUGCUCCAAGAGUCAGUUGUUUGGGAAUG